rnacentral:rRNA from 1 species
UCGCGGCCUAUCAGCUUGUUGGUGAGGUAAUGGCUCACCAAGGCGACGACGGGUAGCCGGCCUGAGAGGGUGACCGGCCACACUGGGACUGAGACACGGCCCAGACUCCUACGGGAGGCAGCAGUGGGGAAUAUUGCACAAUGGGCGAAAGCCUGAUGCAGCGACGCCGCGUGAGGGAUGACGGCCUUCGGGUUGUAAACCUCUUUCAGUAGGGAAGAAGCGAAAGUGACGGUACCUGCAGAAGAAGCGCCGGCUAACUACGUGCCAGCAGCCGCGGUAAUACGUAGGGCGCAAGCGUUAUCCGGAAUUAUUGGGCGUAAAGAGCUCGUAGGCGGUUUGUCGCGUCUAUCGUGAAAGUCCGAGGCUCAACCUCGGAUCUGCGGUGGGUACGGGCAGACUAGAGUGAUGUAGGGGAGACUGGAAUUCCUGGUGUAGCGGUGAAAUGCGCAGAUAUCAGGAGGAACACCGAUGGCGAAGGCAGGUCUCUGGGCAUUAACUGACGCUGAGGAGCGAAGGCAUGGGGAGCGAACAGGAUUAGAUACCCUGGUAGUCCAUGCCGUAAACGUUGGGCACUAGGUGUGGGGGACAUUCCACGUUUUCCGCGCCGUAGCUAACGCAUUAAGUGCCCCGCCUGGGGAGUACGGCCGCAAGGCUAAAACUCAAAGGGAUUGACGGGGGCCCGCACAAGCGGCGGAGCAUGCGGAUUAAUUCGAUGCAACGCGAAGAACCUUACCAAGGCUUGACAUGUGCCAGACCGCCGUGAAAACACGGUUUCCCCUUUGGGGCUGGUUCACAGGUGGUGCAUGGUUGUCGUCAGCUCGUGUCGUGAGAUGUUGGGUUAAGUCCCGCAACGAGCGCAACCCUCGUUCUAUGUUGCCAGCACGUGAUGGUGGGGACUCAUAGGAGACUGCCGGGGUCAACUCGGAGGAAGGUGGGGACGACGUCAAAUCAUCAUGCCCCUUAUGUCUUGGGCUUCACGCAUGCUACAAUGGCCGGUACAAUGGGUUGCGAUACUGUGAGGUGGAGCUAAUCCCA